rnacentral:rRNA from 1 species
CAGUAGCCGGUAAUACGUAGGGUGCAAGCGUUAAUCGGAAUUACUGGGCGUAAAGCGUGCGCAGGCGGUUUGUUAAGACAGAUGUGAAAUCCCCGGGCUCAACCUGGGAACUGCAUUUGUGACUGGCAAGCUAGAGUGUGUCAGAGGGGGAUGGAAUUCCGCGUGUAGCAGUGAAAUGCGUAGAUAUGCGGAGGAACACCGAUGGCGAAGGCAAUCCCCUGGGCCUGCACUGACGCUCAUGCACGAAAGCGUGGGGAGCAAACAGGAUUAGAUACCCCCCGUAGUCCCUGUCUCUUAUACA